rnacentral:rRNA from 1 species
GACGAACGCUGGCGGCGUGCCUAACACAUGCAAGUCGAGCGGAGACAGUGAGUAGCUUGCUAUGAGCUGUUUUAGCGGCGGACGGGUGAGUAACGCGUGAGCAACCUUUCCCAGACAGGGGAAUAACACACCGAAAGGUGUACUAAUACCGCAUAAGACCACGGGAUCACAUGGUUCUGGGGUAAAAGAUUUAUCGGUUUGGGGUGGGCUCGCGUCCGAUUAGGUAGUUGGUGAGGUAACGGCCCACCAAGCCGACGAUCGGUAGCCGACCUGAGAGGGUGAUCGGCCACAUUGGGACUGAGACACGGCCCAAACUCCUACGGGAGGCAGCAGUGGGGAAUAUUGGGCAAUGGGGGGAACCCUGACCCAGCAACGCCGCGUGGAGGAAGAAGGUUUUCGGAUCGUAAAACUCCUGUCCUUGGAGACGAGUAGAAGACGGUAUCCAAGGAGGAAAGCCCCCGGGCUAACUACGUG